AUGGGAAAGGUCUGGUGGUGACUGUGAUAGAAGGCUUGUUUGUCUCUGUGGACAAGGCUGGAAUUUAAUGGCCUCGGAGGGCUCACCCAAUAUUACCUGGAAGAUGUCAUUUUUCACCAUGAACUUUCUACUGAGUCAUCUAAAUUUUUGAAUUUUGGACAUAGCAUCAAAUUUCCAAAACAAAAGAACAGGUCUAACAGGUAGUCACAUACCUCCUUCUCUACAACCCCCACACUACAGUGUUUGAAAUGAGAUGUGCAUCACCCCUGACCCACAAUUCAUCCAUACUACAUGCUCACCCAUUCACCAAUGGUUCCCAGGCCCUCUCUGCAGCAUCACCACCUCCAUCUUCCCAGGCAAUGACUGAUGAAGAAUGUGAGGUCAGGAAGGGCAUUUUACACCCUGAGGGGCCUUUGUAACACACAACACACCCGAUCAGCUGCAGCCCAGCAUUUAGGAAGUAGCCCCUUGACCUGUUCAGCCUGUCCUUGUGGGAAAGCCUGAGGCCCCACUACCAUGUGAAUCUAGGUACAAAUUUAGGGCCCAAGAAACCAUGCCCUCUGUCAUGGAGGAGACUAUAAAGUCACUCAGGACACUGCACUUUUGUCCUGCAAAUUGGGGCUCCUAGGAGGCAGCUCAGUGGAAUGGGUGAGCUAGAGCUUUGCAAGUUAAUUUUGAAUAGACCAUUCACUGUCUCUCUCUUAGCCUAAUUUUCCUCAGCCAGAAAGUCAGGAUAAAUAACACCUCCAAGAAAAGGCAGUUAGAGUGUGUGCUCUUAAGUUUUACUGUCUCUGUUUUCAAAAACCACAUGUAAAAUGAUGAAGAAAAUCAUCGUCACCAUCAUCGUCUGAAAUCCUACCAUACCACCUGGAGAUAAUAGCCAUUAACAUUCCGGAGACUGAACCCUCAAGCAUCUUUCUGUGAACAUGUAUAUCAUUGUGUUUGGGUAGAUCAAAUGACGAAGUAUAUUAUUAGCUGUUUGGCACGGACUUGGUAGAUAGAAGCAUUCAAUGAAAGCAGACUGACCACGUCCUUCUUUUCACCAUCACCAGGUUGAGAAACAGGCACAUGGUAGAAGCUUACAAUCUGAAGCAAGAAUACAUGGAUUUGGCUCCAGAUCCUACCUCCUACAAGAUAGGACAUUUGAAGCAAGUCUUGCAACUCCUUUUAGUGUGUUUCCUCAUCUACAUAAUGAGACAAUAACCCUUGCUUUGCAACAAUGGCUAUGGUCUCAGAUUGGCUUGAGUUUGAUUCUUGGCUCUGAAAAAUGCUGUUGAUAGCCUGCGCUGAGGAAUUCACCGUAAAUGAAGUACACACAGCACUUAGUGAAGAAAACAAGUGCAUGGAGAUGAAUUUGCCAAAGGUCUCAGGGCUGGAAAGGAGAGGACCUCAAGUCAAGCUCUUGAGCCUAUGUUCUCUGCACCAUAUUUUAAGAAGUUCCUCAUGGAGCAUCUCUGCCUGAAUGUGUUACAUGCCAGCCACUCGGCCCACGGCACCUAGAGAGCUCAAAACUGAAACUCAGUCUGACCACUUCAUAAGCCACUGUGAUUUUCAAAGACAGGUAUUUUCUUUUUUCUAAAUGAAAAAUAGAAGGCAUUACAAGGCACCCAAGAUAUCUACGAAUUCAGAACACCAGUUGUGACAGUUUUCAAAUUUUGGCUUCAAAAUAUUUUCUUCUGACUGACAGCCCAUAAAUACCCACUUCUUGGGUUGAGUGUAAUUAAUCUCUGUAUUUUGACCGCCACUGGUGCAAACUCAUCAUCAUCUCUCAGCCUGGAAGUCAGCCGGUUCUCCAGCUGCUCCUCACCUCCCCCCUCCACCACCCCCAAUGAGAAAUAGCUACAUAUUCUAUUGUUCACAAAGAAAAAGAGAAGCCGGGAGUGGAGGGAAUGGGGGACUAUCACCCUUGCCUGGUCAUUGUCCAGAGACAUGUUCCCAGCCCUUGGAAGUAGCAGGUGGCACUGAACAGUGGAGAAUGGAGUUAAGUGGGACCUGAAGGCCAAGACCAGCUCCACCACUACCCACUGGGUUACCUAGGACCAAUUGCUUAGUGGACCUCAAUACUCUCAUUUGUGUAAUGGGAAUAAUAGUAGUGACAGACAACAUCCUAUUAAACAUGUAAAUAGGCCAGGCGUGGUGGCUCAUGCCUGUAAUGACAGCACUUUGGGAGGCCAAGCAGGUGGAUCACUUGAACCCAGAAAUUCGAGACAAACCUGGGCAACGUGACGAGACCCCGUCUCUACAGAAAAUACAAAAAAAUGAGCCAGGCAUGGUGGUGCACAACUACAGUCCCAGCUACUCGGGAGGCUAAGGUGGGAGGAUCGCCUGAGCCCAGGAGUUGGAGGCUGCAGUGAGCUGAGAUUGUGCCACUGCAUUCCAGCCUGGGUGAGGGAGUG
rnacentral:lncRNA from 10 species